UACAGAGGUCCCGAGCGUUGUUCGGAUUUCACUGGGCGUAAAGGGUGCGUAGGUGGCAUAGAAAGUUUGAUGUGAAAGCUCAGGGCUUAACCCUGAAAUGGCAUUGAAGUACUGCUGUGCUGGAGGUUUGGAGGGGGGACUGGAAUUCUUGGUGUAGCAGUGAAAUGCGUAGAUAUCAGGAGGAACACCGGUGGCGAAGGCGGCUUCUGGACGAGAUACCGACGCUGGAGGCACGAAAGCUAGGGGAGCAAACAGG
rnacentral:rRNA from 1 species